AUUGAACGCUGGCGGAAUGCUUUACACAUGCAAGUCGAGCGGCAGCGCGGGGCAACCUGGCGGCGAGCGGCGAACGGGUGAGUAAUGCAUCGGAACGUACCCCGUCGUGGGGGAUAACUACCCGAAAGGGUAGCUAAUACCGCAUACGACCUGAGGGUGAAAGCGGGGGGACCGAAAGGCCUCGCGCGAUGGGAGCGGCCGAUGCCGGAUUAGCUAGUUGGUAGGGUAAAGGCCUACCAAGGCGACGAUCCGUAGCUGGUCUGAGAGGACGACCAGCCACACUGGAACUGAGACACGGUCCAGACUCCUACGGGAGGCAGCAGUGGGGAAUUUUGGACAAUGGGCGAAAGCCUGAUCCAGCCAUUCCGCGUGAGUGAAGAAGGCCUCGGUUGUAAGACGUCUUUCGGUCCAGGACGAAACGGUAGAAGGACGUAAUAACC
rnacentral:rRNA from 1 species